rnacentral:rRNA from 1 species
UUCCCUUCGGGGACAUUGGUGACAGGUGGUGCAUGGUUGUCGUCAGCUCGUGUCGUGAGAUGUUGGGUUAAGUCCCGCAACGAGCGCAACCCUUGUCUUUAGUUGCCAUCAUUAAGUUGGGCACUCUAGAGAGACUGCCAGGGAUAACCUGGAGGAAGGUGGGGAUGACGUCAAAUCAUCAUGCCCCUUAUGCUUAGGGCUACACACGUGCUACAAUGGGUAGUACAGCGGGUUGCCAAGCCGUAAGGUGCAGCUUAUCCCUUAAAGCUACUCUCAGUUCGGAUUGUAGGCUGCAACUCGCCUACCUGAAGCUGGAGUUACUGGUAAUCGCAGAUCAGAAUGCUGCGGUGAAUGCGUUCCCGGGUCUUGUACCCACCGCCCGUCACACCACGGGAGUUGGAGACGCCCGAAGCCGAUUAUCUAACCGUUUGGAAGAAGUCGUCGAAGGUGGAAUCAAUAACUGGGGUGAAGUCGUAACAAGGUAGCCGUAUCGGAAGGUGCGGCUGGAUCACCUCCUUUCUAAGGA